UACGAGAGGCGCAAACGUUAUUCGGAAUUACUGGGCUUAAAGAGUUCGUAGGCGGCGCAGAAAGUAGGGUGUGAAAGCCCUCGGCUUAACCGAGGAAUUGCGCUCUAAACUACUGUGCUUGAGGGACCUAGAGGUGAGCGGAACUGAUGGUGGAGCGGUGAAAUGCGUUGAUAUCAUCAGGAACACCGGAGGCGAAGGCGGCUCACUGGGG
rnacentral:rRNA from 1 species